GAGUAAUUUAAAAAGCCACAAAAUCUCUCCAGUUUAUGUUUAAUUCCGUUUUUCCAAGGACAGAGAGACGAUACAGUUCUGCUCUCAUGGAUGUGGUUUUAGUUUAUAAAACUUCUUUGCCAUGGAUGAAAAGAUUGAUAAGGUGACCUCCAUGUCUCAGCCCAUUGUGUUAUCUGAGCAUGUGUGGUUGACAACUUCUUGGGGAAAAGGAAUCAUGGCUGACAUACACCAGAAGAACUGCUCAUGCACCAAAGGUUACUAGGGCACUGUUUCAAGGAGGUGUGACUAUUGGAUGUGACCACAAUUUUGGAAAAGGAUUGUCAGCAUUUAUGGCAGCAUUUGCUGCAUGCUGGUGACCGGAUGAAAUGCUGUUCUUAUAUGUUAAUCCAACAAGGCUGUGAGGUAGGUACGCUGCCUCUCUCUGUUUUAUAGAUGAGGCCACUAGGGCACAGAAAUAGAGUCACAGAGCUGAAAGUGGUAGAGACAGACCACCAGCUCGGGGGGAUCUAGCUCCUGAGCUCAGGUGCCGAGCUACUGACUGUGUCAGCCUCCUUCCAAGGCACACCCUUUCACCCAAUCCACUGCUGGCUCCCUGUAUGAAGAAAGACUGUGGAAGAGAAAGGGAAUGGUGGAUGUAGGGGAUAGGAUGGGAUAAAGUGAUUCAUAUUACUGAAGGUAUGGAGGCACAGCGAGAAGCCUAUCAAAUGUUUUCAUUCUGGUUUAGCAUUUUAUCAGAAAUUUGCAUAGACCUUUUCAUUUUUCUUCGUAGUGCUGUAUAAUAUGUCAUAUGUUAUAAGAUAUAUAGUAUUAUAACGUAUACCUAUAAAAUAUUUUAAAUAUUAUUUGCAAUUGCUUUUAUUCAAUGCACUAGGAAGAUAGAGCAUGCUUGUAGGCUUUGGUUAAUCUUAUUUCCUUCUCUCUUUAUUUCUUUGCCACAUAUUUAUUGUAGGGUCUGCUUUGUGCCAGGCAUCAUGCUGCAGGAGUGUCCUCAGAGGUACUUAAAUUGAAGAAGCACGGGCUUAGCACAGAGAUAAGUUAUAGCACUUUUCCAAUCUCCAUCCAAGGAAGAUCCAUCUUCUCCAGCCUAGUUGACUUUCAUGGUCCUAUGGAAGGCGGAUUCCCACUGAGAUGCCACUCACCAUCUUAAUCCUUGUUCUUAUUUUAUACAUACAAGAAACUAUCUGAUGACUUGGAUUCUGAUUCAUACAUUCCACAAAGUCUGAGUCUUUUGGUCAGUGUGGUCAUUAUGUUACUC
rnacentral:lncRNA from 12 species